AACGAACGCUGGCGGCAUGCCUACCACAUGCAAGUCGAACGAUCCCUCCGGGGAUAGUGGCGCACGGGUGCGUAACGCGUGGGAACCUGCCCUUCGGUUCGGAAUAACUCAGAGAAAUUUGAGCUAAUACCGGAUAAUGUCUUCGGACCAAAGAUUUAUCGCCUUUGGAUGGGCCCGCGUUGGAUUAGCUAGUUGGUGGGGUAAAGGCCUACCAAGGCGACGAUCCAUAGCUGGUCUGAGAGGAUGAUCAGCCACACUGGGACUGAGACACGGCCCAGACUCCUACGGGAGGCAGCAGUGGGGAAUAUUGGACAAUGGGCGAAAGCCUGAUCCAGCAAUGCCGCGUGAGUGAUGAAGGCCUUAGGGUUGUAAAGCUCUUUUACCCGGGAUGAUAAUGACAGUACCGGGAGAAUAAGCCCCGGCUAACUCCGUG
rnacentral:rRNA from 1 species